UUGAGUUUUUGUUUUGUUGGAGCUCCAUCCUUCUUCUGGGCAUCCUCUAGAUGUCGCCAGAGGCGAGCCCCUGGGAGGCUGCGGGGGUAACCCCGUGGCCACACCUGUAGCUUGUUUGGAGGGCGUGGAUUGCAGAUAUAAGCAGCGGCUGAACAACUUCUCAUCGCCUGAGUGUUAGCUUACCUCGGUUAUCCUGUUGCCUCCUCGCUGCUCCUGUGUGUGCCAUCAGCCCUGGGCUCAGAGAGAAGCUCUUGUCCCUCGCUGUCUGUGAGUUGCUCUCCUCGUGUGUCCUCCCUCGACGCUGCCGGUGUUACCGGUCAGACGCCACCCCUCGUGUGUUCACCUUUCCCAGUCUCGGUCCGUCUCCAGUGGAUCCCCCUUCGGGACGCAGCGGAUCUGUCGAUCCUGGCCCGAACCCAUCUGGAAAGAAGGAACAACUGGACCGCGACGUUCUUCGCUCUUUCCGCCGCAAAUAACCUGUCCGCCCUCCGACGAGGCUCAAUUAUCCAGCGCUCAGCUCUCAACUACUCACCUUCAGAUCAAUAAGACGACCCGGUCAUCCGCUCCAGUACUCACUCCCUUCCCCUUCCCCUGGAAUCAAUAAACUCAUUAUUGUUUAUUUACUCUGACUCAUCUGAUUGUGUUCCUGCAUGUGGGUUCGUAGAGUGAACACCAUCAUGACAGAACACUCAGGCCAGAUCACAACCUCCGCGGACUCAAUCAGAAAAGCCUUAUCCGAUCAACACGCCUUAAUUCAGUCCCAUGAUUCAGCGUUAAGAGAACUGGGAAACCGCCAAGCAGAGACAAACCGUCGACUAACUGAAAUUUCUAAUUUUCUUCAGAAUUCAGUACAACAGGUUCCUGACCCCUCUCCUGCUCCUCCCGCAACUCCAGAUCCGCCCGUCCAUUCCGGGAUUUCGGAGGUCCGUCCAGCUACACCGGAGAAGUUCUCAGGAGACAUCAGGAAGGUUAAGGGAUUUAUCCUCCAGUGUACUAUUGUCUUUAACCAU